ACUGCUCCUGAAAGCAGCCAACAGGAGGAGAAGGACAUGGGACACAGGCAACAUCUGGGGCUCUACAGCUGCUCAGGAACCACAAGCGCCCUGUGCCUCAGUUUUCCCCUUGCAAAGUACCAGGGCUUUGAGAAAUGCUCUGGGGCCACAAUGUCCAAACACUUUUACUGAGCGAUGCGAGCAAAGGGCAAUCAAUGUCCAUUUUGGGGAGAGAAGCCCAGAAAACACCUUCUUGACUCCCAGCAUAUGCACUUUUUAUUCCUUCUCAAAAUAAAUGCAGCUGAAAAGAAGACGCGAGAGGGUUGCUGAGGCUGGCAAACCCCAGCUGGACCCCAGCGCUGCCCUGACAUCUGAAACGUGCCACAUGCACACACAGCCCCCCUGCACCCUCCUUGCUUCCACCCUUUCAGCUUGCCCUGCCCAAAAGGGCAAAAAAUCCAGGUCAAAAUCACCACAAGAGGAAACGCCUGCUGCAACACAGCCCAAACAGCUUAAGGAAGGAGAGACUUUCCUCUUUAGUGUUCAAGGAGGGGAACAAGAGAAGAUGAGCAAGCAGGACUGUGAAAGGGCACUGCUUUCUUUGAUCACAUAGGGACUAUAUCUAGCAGCUGGGUCCCUGACGCCACAUUUCCAGCCCACCAAGCUACUCCCAGCUAGCAGCAGCCAAGACUGCCCACCACUGCCCUCACUGCUGCUUCCUGGGGUGCUUCAGACCCUCUCGUCUGCUCCAGAUCUUUGCCCUCAUCUGGGAUAUCACCCCAAGGAGAGGAGCAAGGAGAACUCUCUGGGGAGCAGCACCACCUCCCAAGCCCAAAAGACCCAAAAGACCACAGGAGACGCAGCCCCCAAGCCACCGAUCCAGUCUCCUGCAGCAGCUGAGCCCUGUUGCUCCAGGUACAUGAGGGCAAGCAGAACAAGCUCCAUGUCUGCAAUAACCAGCACUUCCAGCAAUGACCCACCUCACACUGCUCUCUCCUCCUCUGUCAUUAUAAACCCUUUAAUUAAAGAGGCAGAAAUUUACCCAGCAUCAGCUGUGGUGAUUUCCCACUUCCAGCCAUGCAGAGAUGACAGCCUUGUCUCUGCAACCGGGUCUGUCCAGAGCUGCUGCUGGGGGCGCAGUGUAGGGGCACAGCACCUCCCAGCUGCCCCACACCUACUCCAUGACUCUGCCCAGACCCAACACCGGCACGGGUGACACCAAGGGUGUCACAAUACAUGCACACACCACUUCUCCCCAAAACCUCAACCAAAAGUGGAAUUUUGCAGGAACUCCUCUACUCAGGAGCAGGGCAGUAAGUCCUGCAAUAGUCCCAAGGUGGUGUCAGUCCCACAGGAGAAACCUGUGUCAGGCACCCAGCCGCCCAGUCCACAGCCAUGGAGACCACUGGGUUUCUCCUCCACAGUUUUGGUGUUUUAGAGGAGCAAACAUCCUGUGUUGCUUUCUCAGCCUGUACCAGCGUAUAUUAAUAACAAUAAAUCUGUAGAGGGCAGAUCAGUUCAUUUUCUAAUCACCUAUGAAACUGCUGCAGCUCCCAAAACGCGGAGGGAUGGGAGGGGAGUGAGAAGCAGGAGCAGAGAGACUAUGCUAUUAAGAAAAGAAAUGGAAAAAAAAGAAACCAGCUGUCAAAAUCCAUAAGAACAAAACGCUUAAGUGGCUGGAUUUCCUCCUCCAACUCUCUUUAGGGCUUUUUCUAGCUGUUGCCAAGGAACACCCCUCCUCGCCGGCGGAAGCAGCCAGCUUCUCUCCUUUGGCUCUUCUUGCAUUGGCAGUGACAGGGAAUUUCCGCCUCACUAAGCCCGUGAGUAGGUUUAAGUCCUGCAAGCAGAGAAAACCUGCCCCGGGGAGGGAAACCCCACACUGAACCUCUCUCCAUCCCUCCCCAGCCCAGGAUGCUCCACAGAAGGCAGUCCAAAGCAAGUGUCUGCCCCGUAAAGAGCCUCCCUCGGCCGCUGCCAGCCGGGCGGUGUCUGCGGGACAGCCCGCCCCUCGCACCCCGCCCGCCGCGCUUAAAGCCGCAGCCGCGGGGAUUAAGGAGGGCUCAGCGCGGAGCAUCGCAGCGGGGACCCCGGGGCAGCCUCCCCGGCAUCCGUCACGAAGGAAGAAGCAUUUUCAAGAGGCACAGAAGGCAUCUCGCAGGUGGGCAGGGAUCAGCUUGCCUUGGCUUCAGCAGUUGAGGAGGGCUGUCCUGGCUGGAGAGGAAGCAGACUGGCAGGUCAACCUUCUCUUGAGCCUUUCC